rnacentral:rRNA from 1 species
CAGCCGCCACGGUAAUACGUAGGUGGCAAGCGUUAUCCGGAAUUAUUGGGCGUAAAGCGCGCGUAGGCGGUUUCUUAAGUCUGAUGUGAAAGCCCACGGCUCAACCGUGGAGGGUCAUUGGAAACUGGGAAACUUGAGUGCAGAAGAGGAAAGUGGAAUUCCAUGUGUAGCGGUGAAAUGCGCAGAGAUAUGGAGGAACACCAGUGGCGAAGGCGACUUUCUGGUCUGUAACUGACGCUGAUGUGCGAAAGCGUGGGGAUCAAACAGGAUUAGAUACCCCAGUAGUCUCUGUCUCUUAUAC